AGAGAAGUCAGUGAUAUAGAUGAUGGAGAGAUGGAGGAGACGGUGGUGCUUCAAGACCAAAUUCCUCUACCAAACAAAGCGUCUAGUCUUCUCUAUUACUUCACGCUUUACCUACAGACACAAAACAGGUAAUAGAAAGCAUGGACUAGUGAAACUUCAUGAGGACAUGGAAUCUUGCAGAGAAUAUAAAGAUAUCCGAGUGAUGUGGGAGAUGAUUCAUUUCUCUAGUUCUCCUACUGUCCC